CACACAGAAACACACAGACUCACACACAGACACACACACAGACACACACAGACUCACACAGACACACACACACACAGACUCACACAGACUCACAACUGGUACGCUCAUAGACAUUGAGUUUGCCGAAGUGGUACUAAACACACUCUGAGUAGAGGUGUAUGUAUAUAUAUAUGUGUGUGUGUGGUAAGUAGCUGCUCAUAGACAUAUCCGUAGACACGGGGCAUGUGUGUGUGUGUGCUAAGUCGUUCACUGUUGGGGUGGGGUGAUGAUUCAUCCUAUUCAUAGAGACGUGGACACCCCAGGUACUACUCAUAGGCGAUGUUUGUAUAGAGAUAUUGACCCUAUUCAUAGAGACAUGGACAUCCUAUUCGUAGUCACCACUCAUAUAGACAAUGUUUUUUAUAGAGAUAUUGAUCCUAUUCCUAGAGUACCACCCAUAUAGACAAUGUUCAUAUAGAGAUAUUGAUCCUAUUCCUAGAGGUACCACUCAUACACAAUGUUCAUAUAGAGAUAUUGAUCCUAUUCAUAGAGACGUGGACAUCCUAUUCGUAGUCACCACUCAUAUAGACAAUGUUGGUAUAGAGAUCUUGAUCCUAUUCAUAGAGACGUGGACAUCCUAUUCCUAGAGGUACCACUCAUAUAGACAAUGUCCUACAGAGAUAUUGAUCCUAUUCCUAGAGUACCACCCAUAUAGACAAUGUUCAUACAGAGAUAUUGAUCCUAGUCAUAGAGGUACCACUCAUGUAGACAAUGUUCAUACAGAGAUCUUGAUCCUAUUCAUAGAGACGUGGACAUUCUAUUCCUAGAGGUACCACUCAUAUAGACAAUGUCCUACAGAGACAUUGAUCCUAGUCAUAGAGUACCACCCAUAUAGACAAUGUUUGUAUAGAGAUAUUGAUCCUAUUCAUAGAGACAUGGACAUCCUAUUCGUAGUCACCACUCAUAUAGACAAUGUUUCUAUAGAGAUAUUGAUCCUAUUCAUAGAGACGUGGACAUCCUAUUCCUAGAGGUACAACUCAUAUAGACAAUGUCCUACAGAGACAUUGAUCCUAGUCAUAGAGGUACCACUCAUGUAGACAAUGUUCAUACAGAGAUAUUGAUCCUAUUCCUAGAGUACCACCCAUAUAGACAAUGUUCAUACAGAGAUAUUGAUCCUAUUCAGAGGUACCACUCAUAGACAAUGUUUGUAUAGAGAUAUUGAUCCUAUUCAGAGGUACCACUCAUAUAGACAAUGUUCAUAGAGAUAUUGAUCCUAUUUCUAGAGGUAUCACCCAUAUAGACAAUGUUCAUAGAGAUAUUGAUCCUAUUCCUAGAGGUAUCACCCAUAUAGACAAUGUUUGUAUAGAGAUAUUGAUCCUAUUCCUAGAGGUACCACUCAUAGACAAUGUUUGUAUAGAGAUAUUGAUCCUAUUCAUAGACAUGGACAUCUUAUUCCUAGAGGUACCACUCAGACAAUGUUCAUACAGAUAUAUUGAUCCUAUUCAUAGAGUUACCACCCAUAUAGACAAUGUUCAUACAGAGAUAUUAAUCCUAUUCAUAGAGUCGUGGACAUCCCAUUCAUAGAGGUACUACUUAUAGACAAUGUCCUAUAGAAAUAUUGAUCCUAUUCCUAGAGGUACCACUCAUACACAAUGUUCAUACAGAGAUAUUGAUCCUAUUCCUAGAGUACCACCCAUAUAGACAAUGUUUGUAUAGAGAUAUUGAUCCUAUUCCUAGAGGUACCACUCAUAGACAAUGUCCUACAGAGACAUUGAUCCUAUUCAUAGAGUACCACCCAUAUAGACAAUGUUCAUACAGAGAUAUUGAUCCUAUUCAUAGAAGUACCACUCAUAGACAAUGUUCAUACAGAUAUUGAUUCUAUUCAUAGAGACGUGGACAUCCUAUUCCUAGAGGUACCACUCAUACACAAUGUUCAUACAGAGAUAUUGAUCCUAUUCCUAGAGUACCACUCAUAUAGACAAUGUUUGUAUAGAGAUAUUGAUCCUAUUCAUAGAGACGUGGACAUCCCAUUCCUAGAGUACCACUCAUAUAGACAAUGUUUGUAUAGAGAUAUUGAUCCUAGUCAUAGAGUACCACCCAUAUAGACAAUGUUCAUACAGAGAUAUUGAUCCUAUUCAUAGAGGUACCACUCAUAGACAAUGUUCAUACAGAGAUAUUGAUCCUAUUCAUAGAGGUACUACUCAUAGACAAUGUUCAUACACAUAUUGAUCCUAUUCCUAGAGGUACCACUCAUAAACAAUGUUCAUACAGAGAUAUUGAUCCUAUUCCUAGAGGUACCACUCAUAGACAAUGUCCUACAGAGACAUUGAUCCUAUUCAUAGAGUACCACCCACAUAGACAAUGUUUGUAUAGAGAUCUUGAUCCUAUUCAUAGAGACAUGGACAUCCUAUUUAUAGAUUUCACCCAUAUAGACAAUGUUUGUAUAGAGAUCUUGAUCCUAUUCAUAGAGACAUGGACAUCCUAUUCCUAGAGGUACCACUCAUAGACAAUUUUGUAUAGAGAUAUUGAUCCUAUUCCUAGAGGUACCACUCAGACAAUGUUCAUACAGAGAUAUUGAUCCUAUUCCUAGAGGUACCACUCAUAGACAAUGUUCAUACAGAGAUAUUGAUCCUAUUUCUAGAGUACCACCCAUAUAGACAAUGUUCAUACAGAGAUAUUGAUCCUAUUCCUAGAGGUACCACUCAUACACAAUGUUCAUACAGAGAUAUUGAUCCUAUUCCUAGAGGUACCACUCAUAUAGACAAUGUCCUAUAGUUAUUGAUCCUAUUCCUAGAGGUACCACCCAUAUAGACAAUGUUUGUAUAGAGAUAUUGAUCCUAUUCCUAGAGUACCACUCAUAUAGACAAUGUUUGUAUAGAGAUAUUGAUCCUAUUCAUAGAGACGUGGACAUCCCAUUCCUAGAGUACCACUCAUAUAGACAAUGUUUGUAUAGAGAUAUUGAUCCUAGUCAUAGAGUACCACCCAUAUAGACAAUGUUCAUACAGAGAUAUUGAUCCUAUUCAUAGAGGUACCACUCAUAGACAAUGUUCAUACAGAGAUAUUGAUCCUAUUCAUAGAGGUACUACUCAUAGACAAUGUUCAUACACAUAUUGAUCCUAUUCCUAGAGGUACCACUCAUAGACAAUAUUCAUACAGAGAUAUUGAUCCUAUUCCUAGAGGUACCACUCAUAGACAAUGUCCUACAGAGACAUUGAUCCUAUUCAUAGAGUACCACCCACAUAGACAAUGUUUGUAUAGAGAUCUUGAUCCUAUUCAUAGAGACAUGGACAUCCUAUUUAUAGAUUUCACCCAUAUAGACAAUGUUUGUAUAGAGAUCUUGAUCCUAUUCAUAGAGACAUGGACAUCCUAUUCCUAGAGGUACCACUCAUAGACAAUUUUGUAUAGAGAUAUUGAUCCUAUUCCUAGAGGUACCACUCAGACAAUGUUCAUACAGAGAUAUUGAUCCUAUUCCUAGAGGUACCACUCAUAGACAAUGUUCAUACAGAGAUAUUGAUCCUAUUUCUAGAGUACCACCCAUAUAGACAAUGUUCAUACAGAGAUAUUGAUCCUAUUCCUAGAGGUACCACUCAUAAACAAUGUUCAUACAGAGAUAUUGAUCCUAUUUCUAGAGUACCACCCAUAUAGACAAUGUUCAUACAGAGAUAUUGUUCCUAUUCCUAGAGGUACCACUCAUAUAGACAAUGAUCUACAGAGACAUUGAUCCUAUUCAUAGAGUACCACCCAUAUAGACAAUGUUUGUAUAGAGAUCUUGAUCCUAUUCAUAGAGACAUGAACAUCCUAUUCCUAGAGUACCACUCAUAUAGACAAUGUUUGUAUAGAGAUAUUGAUCCUAUUCAUAGAGACGUGGACAUCCCAUUCAUAGAGGUACUACUCAUAGGCGAUGUUUGUAUAGAGAUAUUGACCCUAUUCAUAGAGUACCACCCAUGUAGACAAUGUUUGUAUAGAGAUAUUGAUCCUAGUCAUAGAGUACCACCCAUAUAGACAAUGUUCAUACAGAGAUAUUGAUCCUAUUCAUAGAGUACCACCCAUGUAGACAAUGUUCAUACAGAGAUAUUGAUCCUAUUCCUAGAGUACCACCCAUAUAGACAAUGUUCAUACAGAGAUCUUGAUCCUAUUCCUAGAGGUACCACUCAUAGACAAUGUCCUACAG